AACGCAUAUUCACUCUUUUUUAGUACUUACUGUGGACAUGAUCCUUCUCUCCCUACGGCUUGCAUAGCAUUGUGCUGUGUUGGAAUUUAGGUUUCAUUUAAUGAAAAGCCUUUGUUUUCCUCCCACUUUUGGUCUGUACAUUUUUCACUAAUCUCGGAGAUACAGCUCUGCUCUUACUUGGCUUCUGCUGUUGCUAGUAAGACAUCAUAAUUUGGUUAUACUGUUUUUGGAGGUAGACACAGACACACGUGCACGUGCGCGCUGUGAGGUUUCCUGGUACCUUAGGUGCCUGGCCGUUUCCUGGCAGUGAGAGUAGCCGAGGGCUCCGGUCAGUGGAGCUUCUUGAGACUGUGAAGAGCCUUUCCUCCUCAUACCUCACCGCUGUCUGUGUAACCCCCAGAGGGCUGCAAUUCAGGAUUUUCAUUUCUUAGAAAGAUGACUGGAUUCUCAUACUUUUGCUUGAGAUAAAGAAGCUAAUGGAAAAGUGGUAGCUAGUUUCAAUUUUUGCAGGGUUAUUUUAUAGGAAGUGUUUCACAGUUAGUAAAAGAUUGAAGAUAUGUUCAUUAAUAACACUGUGGAAAAAAUCCCUGCUCCGAGAAACAGCCUGUCGACGGCUCAUGCCUGUGGUAGGUUAGGUGAGAACUCCUGCCUCUUGGUUUACCUGUUUAGAGAACCUGUGGCACCAGUGCAGAUUUGAUACUGGGAAAUAAGGAGACAAUCAAAACCUGGUUAUUAGAUUAUGCAAAGUAACUACCUAGUUAUUCAUUUGACUUCCCCUCCUCGCUCCCUCUGUGUCCCGCACCCCCACCCCACCCCCUUUCUUGUAGAACCAGGAUCUCUUUGUGUUGACUUGGCUGCUCUUGGACUCCUGAGCUCAAGCCAUUCUCUCCUGUCUCAGCCUCCCAAGUCAGGGGCUGACUGCAAAUCCACUCCAUUUAGGUAUCAGUAUGUUUUUGAAACAAUUUCUAUGAAUUCUUCCCAGAGCAAAGAUUAUGAAGGAUAGGAAAUGCCUUAUAUGGCUGGGUUUUCAUUAAGUAGGUAUCUGGUACAUAGUAGGAGCUCAUGUGCACAGCGCCUGGUGGGUAAACAGAAGGACACUAACACCUGUGGUGGUGGCCACCAUGGUCUGUUCCUAAGCGACCGUUCCGUGUGUUGCUGAGUUUGGUUUGUCAGUUUCUGUUUGCUGUUGGGGGUGCGGGGGAAACUUACUCCCCACAGCCCCUGUAACUCAGAGGUAGUGGUGCCUAGAGAUUUAGAAACCAUAUUUCUAAUAAUUAAGAAGGUCUAUAAGAAAAUAACAAAAUAGGACAAUAUUGGGCUUACAUAGAAAUUUAGAUACGUUCUGUAAAAUAAGCCAGGAGGUGAAAACUUAAAAUCUUGAUACUACUUAAAAAUAAUGAAUGAUAAUCUGUAAUGAAAGAAAUUGAGCUGGGCCAAAGCAGACGUCAGAAUCCGCUCUUUAGGAGAAGACUAAGACUUGAGAAACAGAACACGUGAAGUUAAGAUGGCAGGUAACAAACUAGAUGCGAGUUCAGAUGUCUUUAAAAGUUCUAGAUGCUUCAUUAUGAAACGUUUUAAUUCGAAAGCCAGCUUCAGAGAGUACUAGUCGGAGGCCGCUGGCAGAGAUAAGUAACUGUGAAAGAACUAGAGGGAGAUUCGCACUAGGGUUUGAGCAGUCUCCAAGGCAUGGCUCUGCCCGGGCUUUCUCUUAGCAGUGUUGUCCGAGCAGCCCUCUAAUCACGUGGUUUUAAGCUGUCCUUUCCUAGCUGCUGCACAACCCACAACUUGGUCACAGCCACCGCCCUGCUGGAGAGCCUGGUCUUGUCCCUCGAUGCUUCCCAGCUAGCCUGCACAGAUUGCAGCCCCUCCCCUGCUUUCGAUGUUUAGCAGAUAACUUCUCAUCUCUGGCAUAAAAACAGAACAGAAAUAUUUGCAGCUAAGUGUGAGGACAUUGAGAAAUACAUUCUGUUUGUUCGUUCACUUAGCAAACAUCUGUGCAGUGUGUACAGUGAGCCAGACACUAAGCCGACUGUGUGGAAGGAAGCCACGCGGCCUCUAACCUCACUUCCUUCAGAGUGUUGAAAAAAUGUCACCCAUGCAGUACACUUCCUCCACCGGCUAAUGAAAACAGCCUGCCUCCGCGCCCUUCCACCGGUCACUCACACCAACAUCUUCACCGGCUCCCCACUCAGGUGAAGUGGAGGGCAAGGAUUUUUUUUUUUCCCAAAUUAAAAAUAGUUUCUGCCAUACGUUUUUUAGAAACCUAUAGACCCACAGAUUCACACAUAAGACACCGGGAGCUGG
rnacentral:sRNA from 1 species